rnacentral:lncRNA from 1 species
AUGCGAAAACUGAGACUCACAGAGGGCUGUAUCCUCCUCAAGGUCACGCAGUGUGAGCACUGGAGUGAAAAUGCAGACCCGGGCUUAUGUGAACCCACAUGCGAAAUCUCUUCCCUCUGCCAGACCAUCGGAUCCUGCCCUGAAGGGGCCUACAGGCGGCCAGUGGGUUACAGAAAUCACCACAUAAGGACAAGGACAAUCUCUCCUGUGCCUGGCUCGUCAACACUGGGCGCCCCCACGGCCAGCACCCAGCACCCGACUGUGGGUCCUCACUGCCGAGGCUGGGACUCCCCACGUCAUUGUUGAAGCACACUGGUCUGAGAUGGACUGUACAGGUGCUAGGUUCUGCAGAAACGGGGGAGAAGCGUGGGGGGGGGGGUGCGGGAGCACAGAGAGGCCCGAGGAAAGCUUCACUCAAAAAGGGAGCAGAGCCUGGAAGAGCACGGGAACCUGAGCCUGACUGCCGGGGUUCGAAUCCUGCUUUCCCUCUUACCAGCAAAGUGGCUUAACUUCUCUGGGCCUCAGCUGUCUCAUCAGAAAAAAGGAGAUCAUUCGAACACCUCCUUCCCCGGCGUGUUGCAGAGAGUACGUGAACGAUCACACAUAACAGCAUUGAGAACAGCGCCUGGUACCCUGUCCGUGCUCGGUAAGAGUUCGCUGCUGUUGUUAUUAGCCAGGCCCGGAGAAGGGGCUCCACGGGGGCUGCCACAGGCGCCCCCCCCCCCCCCCCUGGAGCUACCUUCCAGGUACAUAUUCCAUGUGCCACUUACGGCCCUGUUGGAAGACAGGCAGGGCAAGGAUUUAGCCCCAUUUUACAGAUGAGGAACCGAGGCUCCCUUAUGGCCAGAACGCCUCAGUUCUAGUCCAGGCCUCCCUCCCUUCCAGCAGCCACGAUGCACCUGUUGUGUGGGCCUCACACAGCGGCCAGCAGCCCCCACUCCCAUCACACCAGAGGGCCCGGCCACAGUGCCCUUCUCACCCCCCCAUGCAGCCACCCCCCCCCCCAGGCAGGCGAGGCGCAGCACACACACACGCGCGCACAGACACAAAGGUGAGGAAAACCUGUUCUGAGCAAUCUGCCUAGCGAGCAAAUUCCAUUCCCAGACCCUUCCACAGUGGCAGGAGCGGCCCAGUGUGCGUCACAGAAGAGCAGGAAAAGCAGAGGUACCGGGAGGGGGGCAGAGAAGAGGGGGAAGCCGGAGGAGGGGACUGAAAACUUCGUGUUUCUUUUUUCCAUGUCAGUGACAAGAGUCACACCCGGCCUCUACAUAAACAUGGCCAAGAAGCCACCCUGUCCAAGCUUAGU